GGAGAAAGUCUUUUGAAGAUCUCGUGGGAAGGCAACCUGCAAGGAUCCAUGCCUGUGUGCCGAGGACAGCCACCAGGCAGGACUUCAUUUCAAAUGACUCCUUGUGGACAAAGAGAAGAAAUUGACCUUGAGAAGUUUCACUUGCUGUGAUAGGAAGACGAUCUAGGCGUGCUUUGGGUGUGGCUAGAUUUCGCAUUCACUAUGUUCAGGAGACCACAGAAGAAUCCAUAGGAACCAUCCAUACAUUAUUCUGAUUUCCCUUCUACAGAGGCAAAUGCAAUCCUGACAAUUAGUUAUUGACAGAGGACAAAUACUUCCUGCAGGCAAAGGCAACGUGGAGUUAUCAUUUUGGACAGGGCCAAACUGAUAAGGGGGCUCUCUUCUCAGAAGAAUGUCUCUCUGUUUGGAAGUUCACAAUCCACUCUAUGGGAUUAAACAGAAGA
rnacentral:lncRNA from 10 species